rnacentral:rRNA from 1 species
GACGAACGCUGGCGGCGUGCCUAACACAUGCAAGUCGAGCGGAGCCAUCUGAAUGAUCCCUUCGGGGUGAUUUCGGGGAAGCUUAGCGGCGGACGGGUGAGUAACGCGUGAGUAACCUGCCCAUAAGAGGGGAAUAACACAGCGAAAGUUGUGCUAAUACCGCAUAAUAUGUUUUUGCCGCAUGACAGAAACAUCAAAGAUUUAUCGCUUAUGGAUGGACUCGCGUCUGAUUAGAUAGUUGGUGGGGUAACGGCCUACCAAGUCGACGAUCAGUAGCCGAACUGAGAGGUUGAUCGGCCACAUUGGGACUGAGACACGGCCCAGACUCCUACGGGAGGCAGCAGUGGGGAAUAUUGCGCAAUGGGGGCAACCCUGACGCAGCAACGCCGCGUGAAGGAUGAAGGUCUUCGGAUUGUAAACUUUUGUCUUUAGGGACGAACAAGGACGGUACCUAAGGAGGAAGCCACGGCUAACUACGUG